UUUGACAGAGGAGAUGGAUUAAUUAGCACUUGCAGUAAAUUUCUGGUUCAUUGCGAGAUGCUUGCCUUGUUGGGAAUACAUCCUCGCAACACAUGAUGGGAGGUAUUAAGACAUGAGGAAUCAGAAAAUCUUAAAAUUUACAUAGUAGAUGAGGGAAGAGCUUGGAUCUAAUUUUGAAGUAUGUUCCAACAAGCCGAAAUUAAGUUCUAACACCUGAGUGUGGGCCGAGAAUUUGUUUCUUCUUUCAUGUAUAAUUGCAUCCUCAACAUCUCCUAAAUUUGCUUGCAAUUGAAAGCUUAUCUUCUUGAUAAAAAGCAUAAACAAUGUUUCUUUGUAUCAUCAGUUCUUGUGCAGACUUCAAGUAUAUUAUGUUAGCUUCUCCAGGAAAGCAGUUGUCAGCAAGAGUCAUACCAAUUUUUCUUAUGGCUCUUAAAUCUUGCCCUUUCAUUAAAAUUUCCAUAAAAUUCUGAAUCCCCUUAAUGCCACAUUCUCUUUGGUCAACACAUACAAGAUACAAUUCAAGAAGUUACCUCCCCACUUCUUAUCAUUAUCUAGGUCAACAAUCAAAACUAAUGCAUCUAUGAUCAAAAAGAAAUUUAUGGGACUGUAAAGAGUUAGCAUAAAUUGCUCAGCAAGCCUCGUUGCAUCUACAGCAACGUGAAUUAAGAAAUAUAUCAGGAUAGUGUACAUGCUGCUGUCGCAGAAGGACCUUGCUCAAAAUAUCUAGAACUCACCUGAAGCUUCGACCAUCUUUGAAAGCUUCAGUAAUUGCAUACUCUGAUGGCAUGUUGACAUAAGUUUCUGGCCAGUUGCACGGAUGAGCAUGGAAGUAAUAAAAUCCACAAUCACAAACAUCAAACUGUAUAUAGCACUGAUAAGCAUUACAACUAUUAUAAAACCUAUAUUCAAAGACAUCAAACUGAACCCCCAAAGAAGAAGAAGAAGAGGAGGAGGAAGAAAAAGGUUGAUAUUUAUUAUGUAUAUCACGGUUCACAAACUAUCAUCUGAAAGGUUAAUGGUUGUCAGAUUUUCAUAAAAGCAACUUCCACUAUCAACAUGAUUGUAAAAUUAAUUCUAAAAAGUUACAAAAGAUGAUUUUUAAAAAAAAAUGAAGGCAACAUUACUUUGGCCACAAUAUUUAUUGCAAUGUAGAAAUCAUUGAUUUGUUGACUGUCUGACAUCAUUUUGCACAUAAAUAAAAGAUAUCCAAGAAGAUCUGCUAAUUUCAACUGCUUUUAGCAACAAGACUGCCAUCUCAGUGGAUUCUUCAGGGGAACAAAUAACAGAGAUCAUCUUGCAAUUGGUCAAGCUAAGUUGCCAACUGAAUCAGGAGAAGAAAGUUGCUUUGCAAAAGAAUAAAAUGCAGCAUUUAAAUUGAUAAUGAUUUUAGGGUCUCACAUAAGCGUCAACUAAUUUCAUAUGCACAGAACAAAACAUCUGAAUGACUGAUCAGACCAUUUAUCUCCAAUGUUAAAAUAAAAAGGAAACAAAACAAAAUAAAGAUAGAUGCCUGCAAUAAAAAAGAGGAGGUUGCCCUUCACUUCUGCAACACAAAAGAAAAAAAUGGCAUAAACGUUAGUGAAAAUCGAACACUAAAAUUUUGAAUUAGAUAAAAGGUAAGCUGAGAUAUUCAGAACAAGCUAAGUUAAAAUUUGCUGAAGCUCCCAAAAGACAAUCAUAGUGAAAAACCACACGUAUAUUUUCAGGAUCUUUUGGAUGCAUGAGAAGACCUAAUUUCACCCAUUAAAAAUAGAUAAUGAGCAAGUGACAUGAACUUGAUAAUAAGAUUUGCUGUCUCGGUACCAGGCCCCAUACCAAUGCUAACUUAUUACUGUGUCGGUAUAGAUCCGGUUUGGCAUACCGAGUGUCAGUAUGCCUUCCAUAUAGCAUACAAGCAUCAAACUGGUACAGUAUGGUACACGCAUACCAAGUGUCAGUUUGCCUUCCAUAUAGCAUACCAGCACCAAAC
rnacentral:lncRNA from 1 species